ensembl:misc_RNA Metazoa_SRP Metazoan signal recognition particle RNA
ACCGGGUGCGGUGGCGCGUGCCUGUAAUCCAAGCUACUGGGAGGUUGAGGCUGGAGGAUCGUUUGAGCUCAGGAGUUCUGGGCUGCUGUGGACUAUGCUGAUCAGGUGUCCGCACUAAGUUCGGUAUCGAUAUGGUGCUCCUGGGGGAGCCCGGGGCCACCAGGUUGACCAAGGAGGGGUGCACCGGCCCAGGUCGGAGACGGAGCAGGUCAAAGCCCCCGUACCGCUCAGUAGUGGGAUCACACCUGAGAAUAGAUGCUGUAGUUCAGCCUGAGUAAAACAGUGAGACUCGGUCUUUU